ACAUAAGAGGCAGUGUUUGUGCAAACGGAGUGAAUAUAGUGUGCAUGCCAUUAUCAGCUAAAUGUGUUUGACUUGUCAUUCAUUCACUUCUACUCCCUCUACCUCAAUGAAAAUAACAAAAGACAACUGUAGACAUGUGGAGCUCUGUCUGAAAAUCUGAGUCACCUUGAAUCAGACACCAGCCUAUCCUGGUUACUGUGUAACAAAGUGGCACUGAUGUCAGCACAACUGCAGCUCAGCAUCAGGGCACAUCAAAGGAUGACUAACCAAAAACCAAGAAAGGCCGAGACGACUGUAGAUUUAUUGAGCAAAUCAGCAGGCUGACAUCUUCUUCAAAGCCCGUCUGCAGUAAAUCUGAGUCAAACUACAAAGAGCUUCCAUCUCUCUGUUCUUUGCUCCCUGGAUGGUCAUCGUUUUGACAUACCCACUGCAGAGUCAAAGAAGCCCUUUAAAAUCACUGCAAAUCUAUUUACUCUCUUAUUUUUGUUUACAAAGCUAAGAAGUACCUGAGGGGAAGCAGGUAAGACGAGCAGUGAUGCAAUCAUGAGCUGUUUUCCUCCACCUGGUUUUUUUCUCUGCAGUCUGGGAGAGGUUUGUCAUCUGUGCUAUUACACAAUCACACAGCUCCUUCAUUAUUAAUAGUUAGAGCAUAAUAAUUAGGAUUAUUAUCAGAAAAUAUCUACAGAUGUCCAGUAAAUAUGUUCCUCUGAAGUGAUAAAUACAUCUAGUAAAAGAGGGUUUUUUUUGCCCUUUGUGUUGUUAUUCUUAUUGUUGUUUUUUUUAACAGAACACAUCUUUCACUGGUUUGAAUGUCCAAAGAAAAUAACUCUGUGAAUUGCAUUUAAACUUUAAAACACAACAAAACCAGAGGUUGGAUUAAUGAUAUCUGAUAUUAUGUCCUCAACUAGUAGCUAUUAUAAUAACUCGUAAUGUGAGACAAGUCAUGCAUAAGACAAAUCAUCAACCAAAUUAGUUGUUUUCUUUAAGUCUAGGGACUAUUUUAUUCCUCUUUGGCUCAAUCUCACUAUUUUCCUAAAUGCAGCAUCCACAGCACAGCUGAUUUUGGCAAUGAAAAGCUUGAGAAACCAAAAGAACAUAACCUGCCCAACACCACACAGUAAGAAGACAGUUAAUAUGUAGCUGGUGGACAUAGUGGAGCAAUUAGCGGCUAAAGAGCCAGAUGUUUUCCCCAGGAGCUGAUGGACAACAAACAGGGCUAACAUGAAAACAAAUGUUAGAUUUUGUUCGAGACGUGGAUCAAAGUGAAAAUCAAAGCUAAUAACAGGCCCUUCCCCCCCAGAUGAGCAAGGGCACAUCCUAAUAAGUCGAGGCUGACUUUGAGUUCAAGCUCAGCUCUCCCGAGGGGAAACUCCUUGGUUUAAACCAUUGCGCCACAAAAUCUUAUGCUCUAUGAGUGGCCAAAAUCUUACGUCAUGGCCUCGAUUUUCUAUACCCUGAAUAAAGUGCCUAGGGGAGGAGGUGCAGGAGUCUAGUUUCCUGUUAGACCACUUGAAUUACAUACACUGAAAGGCUGGAGGGUUCUUUUUUUCCCCAAGAUUGCCAAAAACCGUCACCUACACCCAGCCCUUCCCACCAUGCAGAAGGUGAAUGAGAGCUAGAAAAAUAGAAGCAAUCACUGUCAGUGAAUGACGGUUCGUGUUACCCAUAUUAUCCUUUCCUUUCUACAGGAAGAGGUGUAUUCUUUCUUUCUUUUGGUGGUUUUUCUUGUCUUUGUCUUUGCAUUGGAACCCUUAACUAUCUGCCCUCUACUUUCACCCCAUAUUCUUCAGCAUUCAUUACUUUUAUUCGUUCUCUAUUUUUUUAGGAGUUACUUAGCACUCAUUAAAAAAAAACCUGCAUGUAUUAUUUUAAUACCAGAAUCUCAUGAGGCAAGCUUUAAAAGAAAAACCACAAUUUUAAAAAUUCCUGCAAGCAAAUCUUGCAGCAGAUGUAGCUCCUGAUUGGUAACAGAUUUACCGCAUUCACGGGAAAAAGUUUGACCCUGCUUUUCAGAUCACACCACAUUUGGUAGCUGUAUGUCCCUGCAUUGAAAAUGGUUAGAGCUUUGUAAUGGCAAAUGCUAGAAACAAUGGUGACACGUACAGUGCUGGAGCGCCUCAUGGGAAAGCAAAAAGCUGCAAGGAAAUCAUGAAGCUUAAUUCAUGUGGUAACAAUAUUGCUGAGUCAGAAAUGAAAAACAGAUGACGCUAUAACAAAAGACCACCGCGGCCCCAUGGCUGCCUCAAAAGAAUGCUGCAGACCUAUACACCUAACAUUAGCAAGUUGAUAUGAACACACAGAAAAUGCAUGUAUUUUUACCUAUAUCUGAAGAUGUACAUGCCUAUUCCACGUGUACUCUUACAUCAAAAUUUUAAACCCUCUGAUUGAGAGGCUAAUUGUGAGCAGGUGUUUGCGUUUAUAUAAAAUGCUGCUAAAA